rnacentral:hammerhead_ribozyme from 1 species
GCACUGCUGAGGAGUCCCUAUAGUAGGACGAAACAGCCGUCCAGUGC